GAUGAAGAACGUAGCGAAAUGCGAUACAUGGUGUGAAUUGCAGAAUCCCGUGAACCAUCGAGUCUUUGAACGCAAGUUGCGCCCGAAGCCAUCAGGUUGAGGGCACGUCUGCCUGGGCGUCACAUAUCGUUGCCCAAUGCCUAUUGCAGUGCAAUAGGAAUUUCUAGGGCGAAUGAUGGCUUCCCGUGAGCGUUGUUGCCUCGCGGUUGGUUGAAAAUCGAGUCCUUGGUAGGGUGUGCCAUGGUAGAUGGUGGUCGAGUUAGAACGAUACCGAUCAUGUGCAUGCUCCCCAAAAUAUGGCCUCUAUGACCCACACGCGUCUUUUGACGCUCAUGACGAGACCUCAGGUCAGGCGGGGCUACCCGCUGAAUUUAAGCAUAUCAAUAAGCGGAGGA
rnacentral:misc_RNA from 1 species